rnacentral:pre_miRNA from 1 species
UUUGUACUUCCUUCGUUCCAAAUUAGUUGACUUGAAUUUGUCUAAAUACGGAUAUAUCUAUACUUGUUUAGUGUCUAAAUAAAUAUGGGUCAAGUAAUUUGGAACGGAGGGAGUAUAUG